rnacentral:rRNA from 1 species
GAUGAACGCUGGCGGCGUGCCUAAUACAUGCAAGUCGAGCGAACAGACUAGGAGCUUGCUCCUCUGACGUUAGCGGCGGACGGGUGAGUAACACGUUGAUAACCUACCUAUAAGACUGGGAUAACUUCGGGAAACCGGAGCUAAUACCGUAUAAUAUAUUGAACCUCAUGGUUCAAUAGUGAAAGACUGUUUUGCUGUCACUUAUAGAUGGAUCCUCGCCGCAUUAGCUAGUUGGUAAGGUAACGGCUUACCAAGGCAACGAUGCGUAGCCGACCUGAGAGGGUGAUCGGCCAAACUGGAACUGAGACACGGUCAAGACUCCUACGGGAGGCAGCAGAAGGGAAUCUUCCGAAAUGGGCGAAAGCCUGACGGAGAAACGCCGCGUGAGUGAUGAAGGUCUUCGGAUCGUAAAACUCUGUUAUUAGGGAAGAACAAAUGUGUAAGUAACUAUGCACGUCUUGACGGUACCUAAUCAGAAAGCCACGGCUAACUACGUG